rnacentral:rRNA from 1 species
GACGAACGCUGGCGGCGCGCUUAACACAUGCAAGUCGAGCGAGAACCAGGGCUUCGGCCCUGGGGACAGCGGCGAACGGGUGAGUAACACGUGGGUAACCUGCCCUCGGCACCGGAAUAGCCCGGGGAAACCCGGAUUAAUGCUGGAUAGCCUCACGGACCCUCGGGUCUGUGAGAAAAGGUAGCUUCGGCUUCCGGCUGAGGAUGGGCCCGCGGCCGAUUAGCUUGUUGGUGAGGUAACGGCUCACCAAGGCGACGAUCGGUAGCUGGUCUGAGAGGACGAUCAGCCACACUGGGACUGGGACACGGCCCCAGACUCCUACGGGAGGCAGCAGUGGGGAAUCUUGCGCAAUGGGCGAAAGCCUGACGCAGCGACGCCGCGUGCGGGAAGAAGGCCUU